rnacentral:lncRNA from 1 species
AAAUGAGGGGAUUUCAAGAGUGUUCAAAAGAUUGAAUGGCCUGAGGCAAGCCGCUUCCCCUCUCUGAGCCUCUCUUUACCAUCUGACACAGGAAGGCGAUCGCCCAGCCUCACAGUGGGGCUGUGGGGUUCCAACGUGACCAUGUCUGUGAAGGAGUUGACAAACUGCAAAGCCCGUGACUCAGGAGAUGGCUUUCUGGCCAUUCAGAGGGCGUGAGGGAUGAAGAAGCAAUAGUCGUCCGGGACAUCCAUGGGAGGUGCAGCCUCAGGGAUCCCAGCCACUCUGAAUGCUCCCAGCAUCUCCAGCCACCUGGGCCCCUGCCUCUGCAGGGGGAGCAUCUGCAGAGCACUUCAAGCUCUUAGAAUGACACUCACACGAACACAGGGUUUGACAGUUUGCAACAACAUUUUGCACAUCGUCCAGGUAGGUAUUACUAUCUCCAUUUAACAGAUAAGGAAACUGAGGCUCAGAGAUGUUGCAUGACUUGCCCAAGAGCUAGCAAGAGUUUUAGUGAUACGUGAACCCAGGGCCGUCUGACUGGGACCUCAUUCUCCCUGCUCCAGCAUGCUGUCUUUUGAAGAAAUCUGAAAUCUAGACCCAGUUGAAAUUCACAGUAAGGGCACACAUGAGAUGUUCAAUAACAGAGUCAAGGCACACGUUUGGUGCUCAAAAUACAUGGUAAUUGCACACAAUUGGUGCUGAAUAGUGCACAAUGUUCACCAUAAGUGAUUUCAUGCACUUACUACAUGCACUUGCUAGAUGGUGACAACAAAUGUUACGAGGGAGGGGUGUCACAGGAACAUGUUAAUACCUAUUGGCCCAUUUACACCAGCUAGAUUAUCAACCUAAUUAGUUGUCGUCUAGCAAGAAUAGGGGCUCUAGGGACAGGUACAUUUGACACGUAGGGGGCAGGGAUGCAGGAGCCUGGGGAGAGUGGAGAACAGGGCCAGGAAAGGCAAUAGAGUGGGCAAUGGGGGCCAGGGGUGGGAAAGUCAGAGUGCUGGGGUGAGGAGGCAUGCCAGGGACCAGGCCAGCUUUGCAAAUGACUCCAUUUGACUGAGCCCCACCACUGGUCAAAGGAAUCCCAGUAGUGAUGAUCGCCAUGAUGGUGCCAGACGCGCAGUC